UAAUCAAGACAAUGCAACAGGUUGGCAAGGGGCCUGUCGUAUGUCACCAGUCUCCCCCAGAGGGACUGUCUGCAGAACAUGUUGAGCAGACUUCAGGAAAGGAUGAACAUGAAGAUCACAGCAAUCCUGGCCCAGCACUUUGUUUAGCAGGCUUCCUCCUUUGGAUGCCGUGAGGGAACCAAGGAAUGCACAGGGAGAACAUGCAAAGUCCAUGCAGAAAGACUUCAGGCCAGGAUUCAAACCCAGGACCUUCUCGCAGAAAGGCAGCAUGGCAACUGCACAUUUUCCACAUUGGUAGCCUUAUAGUUAGACAUAGCUGUUUAUUUAGGUUGAAAAUAUAAAUCAUCAUGCUCGUACCCCAUCCCUGUUGCGUCCAGUCAAUCCAGGGUUGGAUGGAUCCGUACAUGUUUAGCCCAAGACAGCCCGGGUGAGAAAAAUCAAUUGGAUUGUUUUCGACCCAGCAGUUUUUAGAGUGUUGCUGGAGAGCAGAGAGGCAUCAGCUUAUUGAAAGUAAAGUGAACCAUGAGACAGCUAAUUUCCACUGUUUGUGCUUCAGAACAUACAGACUAAGAAACAAUUUAUCUAAAUCAGUAGUGUGGGGUAAGAUUGCAGGACUUUCUUUUCCUUUCAAAUGCCAAUUGUUUGACUUUUGGCAUUUAAAGGUCAAAUAUUAAAAGUAUGAGAAUUAAAUUUGUCUUUAUAAUGAGGUU